rnacentral:SRP_RNA from 1 species
GCCGGGUGCGGUGGCGCACGCCUGUAGUCCCAGCUACUCGGGAGGCUGAGGCUGGAAGAUCGCUUGAGCCCAGGAGUUCUGGGCUGUCGUGCGCUAUGCGGAGAUCGGGCGUCCGCACUAAGUUCGGCAUCAAUAUGGUGACCUCCUGGGAGCGGGGGGCCACCAGGUUGCCUAAGGAGGGGGGAACCGGCCCAGGGCGGAGACGGAGCAGGUCAAAGCUCCCGUGCUGAUCAGUAGUGGGAUCGCGCCUGUGAAUAGCCACUGCACUCCAGCCUGGGCAGCAUAGCGAGACCCCGUCUCUA